CGCUGAUGUCAGUCUCUUGCGCGCAGAAGCUGCUGGUUCACUUCGCGUACAGCUAGUGCUCUGCGCGUCUGUAUAGCCGCGUCGUCUCCGUAGCUCUUCUAUAUCCGCGGUAUAGACGUUCUCCCUAUUGCGUCGAUUUUGCAACGUCGACCCCGGAGUCUAUAUAAGUAGUAUAUACAGAUAGACCGGGGAAGAAUCGCGUUUUCCAAGUCGAGGUCGUGCAGUCGCCAUCAUGAACUCGCUCAUGAAUUACGGCAGUGAUGGCGAGAACAGCAACGAUUCCGACGACGCCAAGGUUCCUGGUCCAGUGGCCAAAUCCAGCAUUCCUGUCAGGAGAGCAAGUGAUGCUAUCUACGAUCCAGUCCCAAUGGACAUGAGUGAGGUCAGUGCUGUACGAGGGUCUUGCAAGACUACCCCAAGUCCUAUUCCGAAGACUUAGGAAAGCAACAACAACAAUUCUUCAGAUGAUUCGGAGAGAGAAAGGAGUCCAGUCAGGCCACAUGUCCCAUCAUCCAAUCGCGCAGAUUCUGCAAAAAACUCUGCUUCAUACUCAGACCAGAGAACGUAAUCGUUUUACAGGCGCAUAGACAAUGAAGAGCGUUCUUCGAGCUCUCGCGAUGGUCACAAGCACAACGACAAGUCUGAUGAAAGUAAUGUAGACAAACAUGAAAAAAAUAAUAGACGCGUAGAUAAAAAGCGUGAUCACAAAGACAGCAAAGAUUCCAAAAGGAGCAAAGAUGAUGAUAGAAAAUCUAAAGAUGAUGAUAAGAAAUCCCGAGACAGUGAAAGGAAAUCACGGGACAUCGAUAGGCGGAAAGAAAAAUCCAGCAAAGAUGAUAAGAAUGAUGAGAAAAGUGAGAGGGACCAUCAUCGUGACGAUCGGAAGGAUAAGGACAGAAGGGAUGACAGAGACAGACGAAGAGAACGAGACAGAGACAGGGGCAGGGACAGAAGCAGGGACAGAGACAGAAGUAGAGACAGGGACAGGGAUCGACGUUACUCUAAGGAUGACAAAUCUAGGGAUCGUCACAGAGAUGAUAGACGCUCCAGAGAGAGGGAUCGGGUGAGAUCGAGGUCAAGAUCAAGGGAUCGUGGACCCUCGCACAGGCCAUUCAACUACCGAGAAGACAGAAGCAAAAACAAACUAGCACAAUUAGAAAAAUUGGGCAUAGAAAUAAAAUCGGAUGAGUUAUUGACAACUUCUAACCAACAAACUUUCUAUAACCCACUUGCAACAGCGACGCAAGGAAAAUACGCUGAACAAAUCCAAAAAAGAAAAUUGCUGUGGCAGAACAAGAAACAAGACGAUACUAAAGCUGCUGCAGCACCAUCGACAGCCAGUACAUGGGUGGGUACAACGUUUACUCACGACCAAGAUGGUAAAGUGACUGCUAAAUUUAAAAGGCUCAUGGGUAUCAAAGGCGAUUUACCAGCUACUCCACCAGCUGGCGCUAAACCUGAAAUUUUAAAGAAACAAGAAGAAAUGUUCAACAACAUGGAACAACAAUACGAAGUCGCUCGUGCGACAACACAUACGCAACGGGGCGUUGGUCUAGGGUACGGAAGUGGAGGUUUUCCAUUCCCACGAUAACUUUAAAUAUUGUAAACAUAAGUUGUAUCGAUUGUAUAGUACAUUUUUCAAUAUCAACUGUACUUUAUCCAUUAUCAAAGAAUGUUCAGAGUGAGUCCUUCAAGAUUUCGCUGGAAGAAUUAUUGCGAUAAAGUCAAGUACCUUGCGAACGCCUUGUAUGACAAAUAGAGUUAAUGAAAUUCUGACAUAAUAAGCUUUUUUUUAAUGAGUGAUAUUACAUUUUCUUUUACAUAUUUCAAAUAAAAUAGCCAUUUAUUAGAAUGCUUAGAUUAAUAAGAAUCAUUCACUCAAUAUAAUUUUUAUUUGUUUUAAAUUCAAAACAAUGUUUCCAUCAUAUAAAUAAGCCAGUGUAAUUAAAAAGAUUUUGCAAUAAACAGGUUGACA